UACGUAGAGUGCAAGCGUUAAUCGGAAUUACUGGGCGUAAAGCGUGCGCAGGCGGUUUUGUAAGCCAGAUGUGAAAGCCCUGGGCUCAACCUGGGAACUGCAUCCAAAACUACUGAGCUAGAGUACGGUAGAGGGUAGUGGAAUUUCCUGUGUAGCGGUGAAAUGCGUAGAUAUAGGAAGAACACCAGUGGCGAAGGCGGCUAUCUGGCCCGUUAUUGACGCUGAGGCGCGAAAGCGUGGGGAGCAAACAGGAUUAGAAACCCCUGUAGU
rnacentral:rRNA from 1 species